rnacentral:rRNA from 1 species
CCCUUAGAUGUUCUGGGCCGCACGCGUGCUACACUGAGUGGAUCAGCGGGUCAGGUUGCGCGAAAGUGUUUCCUAAUCUUGAAAUCCGCUCGUGAUGGGGAUUGACGGUUGCAAUUUUCCUCAUGAACGAGGAAUACCUUGUAAGCGCGGGUCAUCAUCCCGCGCUGAAUACGUCCCUGCCCUUUGUACACACCGCCCGUCGCUCCUACCGAUUGAGUGGUCCGGUGAGGCUUUGGGAUCUGAGCGGAAAGAGCGUUUCGCUGUUUCUGCUCGGAAAACUCAGUCGAACCUUAUCAUUUAGAGGAAGGAGAAGUCGUAACA